rnacentral:rRNA from 1 species
GAUGAACGCUGGCGGCGUGCCUAAUACAUGCAAGUCGAGCGAAUGGAUUAAGAGCUUGCUCUUAUGAAGUUAGCGGCGGACGGGUGAGUAACACGUGGGUAACCUGCCCAUAAGACUGGGAUAACUCCGGGAAACCGGGGCUAAUACCGGAUAACAUUUUGAACCGCAUGGUUCGAAAUUGAAAGGCGGCUUCGGCUGUCACUUAUGGAUGGACCCGCGUCGCAUUAGCUAGUUGGUGAGGUAACGGCUCACCAAGGCAACGAUGCGUAGCCGACAGGAGAGGGUGAUCGGCAACACUGGGACGGAGCCACGGCCCAGACUCCUACGAGAGGCAGCAGUAGGGAAUCUUCCGCAAUGGACGAAAGUCUGACGGAGCAACGCCGCGUGAGUGAUGAAGGCUUUCGGGUCGUAAAACUCUGUUGUUAGGGAGGAACAAGUGCUAGUUGAAUAAGCUGGCACCUUGACGGUACCUAACCAGAAAGCCACGGCUAACUACGUGCCAGCCGCCGCCGUAA